AUACUUACCUGGACGGUGUCUAACGGAUGAUCAACAAGGUCUAUGGCCUAGGUUGGUGACCUUCAUUGCACUUAGGAGGGGUGCCCGCCUAAGAUCUGCUUAAGUGGCAGAGUCUACAUCAUAAUUUGUGUUAGUCGGUGCCUACGUUCGCGAGGCUCCUGU